rnacentral:rRNA from 1 species
CUUUAUUGGAGAGUUUGAUCCUGGCUCAGGACGAACGCUGGCGGCGUGCCUAAUACAUGCAAGUCGAGCGAGGGUCUUCGGACCCUAGCGGCGGACGGGUGAGUAACACGUAGGCAACCUGCCUCUCAGACUGGGAUAACAUAGGGAAACUUAUGCUAAUACCGGAUAGGUUUU